rnacentral:lncRNA from 1 species
AUUCAUUCGAAUCCCUCGGAUUAGUACGUUUUGUGGACCGCGAUCGCUUAAAAUACGUGUAGUCCAUAGUCUAGCACGUGAACUUAUCGAUUUCACCGGCUUUUCAUAACUAAUUAAUAAAUACUUUAUCUUUAAAGUAUAAAUAUGUGUACAAAACUUACCUUAUCAUUAUAACAUAGUAUACCGUUGUGAAUAGCUAACGUGUAAGUGUAAAAGUGAGAACAACCAAGUUUAUGAUUACGUCCAUUUAAGAUUUUAAAUACCAAAAUAGUGCAACAUGGCACCAAACGUCACAGAUGCCAAUGGGGUGUUAUUUGAGAGUGACGCUGCCACUCCAGAUUUUGCUCUCGCCACACCACCUGUAGAAAAAGCAGACAAUUAUCCAAGAAUUUAUGUAUGGAGAAACAUUAUAGCUUUUACAUAUUUACACUUAGCAGCGUUGUAUGGAGGAUACCUGU